rnacentral:sRNA from 1 species
UUUGCAGACCUGAGAGGAGACAAGGAGAUAUAAAAAAGGCCUGAGACUUCCUGACAGCAGCCUCUUGGGCCCAGAGCCAAGCUUUCUAUCCACCCAGCAAUGCACCAUUCCUGCCCCUGAGCCUUCAGGUGGCACAGUCAGACAUCCACUGAAAGCUCCGAUUGCUGAAGAACCCACCACUCUAUUCUAGACAAGAGGUUCCAGAAGAGCACUGUCUGGCUUGUGUGCUGAACACUUGGAACACUGGAUUCCCAGCUGAUGGUGCUGUUUUGAGAGUUUCUACAAACUUUAGUAGGUAGACCUAAUUGGGGGAAACAAGUUACUGGGGGCUAUGCCUUUGAAAUUAUAGCUGGCCCCUGAUCAGCUAUAAUUUCUCCCAUCCUUUGUUUCAUGUCUGCCUUGGGGUAAACAACCUUCUCCUGUACACACACUCCCACCACCACAAUGGACUGCCCAAGUGCACGGGGCUGAAUGAACCCUGAGAAACCACAUUCCAGAUUAAGGCUUUCCCCCUUUAACUCAUUCCUAUAGACACUUCAGUCACAGUUGUAGAAAGAAUAUCUUGCGUAUUGUAUGGAUACAUCACAGGUCAAUUAAAAAGCCUAUAGCCUGUGGCUUAGGCAGGAAAUAGAAGUGGGACAUCCGGGAGGGGGAAGAAUUCUGGGAGAGAAGGUGACAGUGUCACUGAAAGGGUGAGGAAAUGGACACAGAGCACCUGAGCACAGGUAACCAGCUACAUGGCAGAAUAUAGGUUAAAAUAAUUGGGUUGUUUUCGUUAUGAUCUAGUCAGAGUAGAGCCUAGCUAUAUGCCCAAGAUAUUUUGCAUCUGAGUUUUAUUGCUGGGAGCAUGGGGCUUGGAGGAAGAACCAGGUUUAACUACAGCACCCGGUGACAUGAGAGUAGCUAAGAGUGCCUGCCCCUCUGUGGAUCCAGGCUUACUGUCUUCUCUGGAGCAUCCACUCCAUGCUCUUUGGACCUUCCCGAAGUGUUGGUCCUUGCUCUUAGGACUCCUCUCCGUCCUCUGCCAUCUCCACCCUUCAUGGUCCUCAUACUGGCUGCCCAGUGAUGCUCAGUGCCAGCUCCAACUCCAAGCAAGCAUCUGUACCAGGUACCUUUGUAGCCCUGAAGAUAUCCUAUCCCCGGAGGAUACUUCAGGCUAGGGUACAGUGGAAACAGCAAGUGUAGGGUGUCAGGAAUGCCCCCAGGGUGUUGCCCUGUCAGCCUGUGGUAUGAGUGCUGAAAGGAAAGAAAGUUUCAUGAUCUAAUAUUAAUUUUUCCUCAAAAACCAGAAACAAACCAAAAUGUGCUAGCUAGUACUUGGUCAGUCAAAACUCGGGAGGCAAUGAAGGGAGGAAAGGUUUACUCUGGUCAGGGGCUUCAGUUCACAGUGGGUUAGCUCUGUGGCUUUGUGAGCAGAGAGCAUUAUACCUGGUGUGUGUGGUAGAGACCCCUGCCUACUCUAAAGGUGCCAAGAAAUCAAGAGUGAGAGGAAGGGACUAGCAUGCUAAUAGCCCCUUCAAAGACACACUCCACCACUCUACAUCUAGCAGGUCCCUUCUCCUAAAGACUCCCCCAUCUCACUGGAGCGCCAAGCUGAGGACCAAGACUUUACCACACAGUCACCAAGGAGGCAGUGAAGGCUCAAGAUACAGUAGUAUGAGAACCCAAAUAGCACAGAAAGUUAAGGGGAAAACGGCUGAGAUGCCCCUGGGCCUCAGCAGCAGCAGCGUCUACCUCUGAGCAGUGCGUGCUCGACUGCAGAGCUGCAGAACCUGGCUCCGGGCUCACUCUGUGACCCCAGUUCUCUUGUUAUCUACGGGUACUCCACUUCAUUCCUGAGUUUUGUUUUAUUCUGGA